AAACAUGUAUUUUUAUUUGACGUUCCAUAAAUAAUGACGACAAUAAUAUUAAGUUAAGAUAAUAACAAAGUAUCUGACUUUACGAAGUUACACGAAGACGUAGAUGCAACUUUGUCAAAGGAGAAAAUGUAUCCAUUACAACGGAUUGCGAGAGAAAUCUCGGUAAAAUUAACAAUGACAAAGUUCUACUUCAGUAUAAUACAACAGGGAUUUGGCACAAAGACUUGGCAUUAAGUACAUGAUCUUACUUCUAUGAAGAGUUAUCAGUCUUUCAAUAAAGAUAUUCGACAGUAAAUAUUUAAUACUCUAAAAUGGGUUGGUUGCCUUUCGUGAAAAGAUUUUUCGAACUCAUAAAUAUUUUUAAGGUAAAAUACUAUCACCGUGCGAUAGCGAUUUUUGGGUAAAAUAGUCUUUCGAAAAAUUAAAUCACAAAAGACUCGUUUUAAUGAUAAAUGACAAGACUCCAUUGCUUACUUUACUAGAUAAUUACUAAUGUUUCAGAUUCCUUAUUGAUAUGAUUUCAAUGUUUAUAUUAAAAAUUAAAUUACAAUGUUUUGCCUCUGUCUCUACGUAAGUUAUACGUGUAAUUUUCUGAAUUUUAAAAAUUCUAUCGAGAACAAACACUUAAUUUCUAUACAUAAUAUUUUCUACAUAAACAUAAAUGCACCAUAACAAAAAAAAAAGAGCUGUUUCUUCAGGUACAAGUGAAUUACGCUCAAAAUGUUCCAAUAUUUUUUUGGUAACAAAAAUACAGAUGAAAUA